AAGUUCCGACCCGCACGAAAGGCGUAACGAUUUGGGCACUGUCUCAACGAGAGACUCGGUGAAAUCAUAGUACCUGUGAAGAUGCAGGUUACCCGCGACAGGACGGAAAGACCCCGUGGAGCUUUACUGUAGCCUGAUAUUGAAAUUCGGCACAGCUUGUACAGGAUAGGUAGGAGCCUUUGAAACGUGAGCGCUAGCUUACGUGGAGGCGCUGGUGGGAUACUACCCUAGCUGUGUUGGCUUUCUAACCCGCACCACUUAUCGUGGUGGGAGACAGUGUCAGGCGGGCAGUUUGACUGGGGCGGUCGCCUCCUAAAAGGUAACGGAGGCGCUCAAAGGUUCCCUCAGAAUGGUUGGAAAUCAUUCAUAGAGUGUAAAGGCAUAAGGGAGCUUGACUGCGAGACCUACAAGUCGAGCAGGGUCGAAAGACGGACUUAGUGAUCCGGUGGUUCUGAAU
rnacentral:rRNA from 1 species